GUUUAAUUGCAGGGGCUCAGGCAACUUGUUUAUCUUCCUUAAACACUGCCAGGGUGGCUCUCGUUUGUUAUCUGGGGUGUGAAAUGGAGGCUGACAACAAUUAAUACCUCCUCCCAGGCAGCUCGGCGGCGCUCUGACGGGAAGCUGUGUACUUCCGAGCAGGCGGCUGAGGAGGUGGCGGGCCGAGCCGUCACUCAGGAUCCGAGGGGGGAAGAGUGACAGCGGCAGCUGACCGCCCCUCCCGCCGCCUCCUGAGAGGCCCCCAUGAUAAAGCAUCCUGCUUUGUGGUGUAAUCAACUUGCCAUACAUGCAUUACCUCCUAAUGAGCGCCGUGUUUAAACAAGUGUAUAGAACACAUCUGUCCGGGCCUUGGGACUCGAGGCUGUGUGACCAAUUUCAGCAUCUGAAAGUUAAAUUAAUGGUAAAGGGUUUAAUUGUGAGUAAACAAUACCACAUUAAGGAGCAGUAAACACAGCAGUGGGGACCCACCGACCCGCUCUGCCAUCACAGAUGCGGCCGCCUCCAUGUGACCGUUAAUAGUCCCCACCGCCUGGACGUUCUGACAGUGCCCUGAAGCCCAUUUGUCAUCUAAAUGGUCCGUCCCUUUCUCAAACAUCAUUUUGGCCCAGAGUCCAUUCAUGGGGCCUGCCGGGUGUUCCUGGGAAGAUGGGCAGAAAAUCCCAAGGUCCACUUAUCUCAGAAGCCAAGUGAAUACAGCAGCCCCAGGCCCUUGGAAUACUGGCUGCUUGACAAGAAGGUAGAUUCAACAUCGCUGCUGCUGGUUAUAGGGAGAUCAUGCACAACUGUUCAGAGCUUCAGGUCUCCGUUCCCACCAGGAGGCUCAGUAUAUUCCCACCUCACGAAACUAGCUAACUGCCAGCACCAGCUCUCUAGCUCCGAGUCAACUUUUCAGUGCUACAUUUCUUAGAAAGUUUUCCCAACACAUUGGCUGCUUUUGUAUGUCCAAAAUACAGGCCACCGGUUAGUGCCAAUAGACAGAAGGUCUGGUUUCUUCAAAAGAAACACAGGAAAUUGUUUCCUGGUUUUGCCACAGAGAUUGGGUCACAAAGUGCCACCUAAAUGGUAUUACCCUAUUUGUGGUUUGAUACAGUCGUCUCUUGGUUUGAAAUUUAUUCGUAGUAUGACUUGUGUCUCCCCUCGUUCCAUCGCUGACACCCAAGCCCAUGAGAUGACAACUCAGGCUGAGAUGUCCCAUGUGUCACAAAGGAGUCCUUCAGUAUUUCCAGGAGUAGUUGGAACCAGCACUCCCUCCCCUACCUGGACCUGGCACCUUCUCUACUCUUGUCAGUUCUACACUAAUCACAGGAAGAAGGUGGAAUUAGUCCAAGCUGGGUUUUCAGAAAUAACUUGUAGACAUGCAAUAGAUGUUUAUAACCCUCAGAAGCGGAAGGAAAUUUGGAAACCCUCUCUUCGGUGAUUUUUUUUCUAAUGAUUGUCUCUGCCAUGAAAUUCUAACUUCGAAUGAAAUCUUUGGCAGGAGCCCAGGGCUGUUCUGUCAAGGUUCAGCUGCAGGACCAGAGCCCCUUCCACCUAAACCCCACUCCUAUCCUGAUGCUUCCUGAGGCACAUCUGCUGUGGUUUCUCACCAGAGAACAGUCUGCAAAAUCACUGCACCUUGUCCAACUCCAUUUUCCAACUGAGAAGACUUGGCCCAGAGAAGUGCACAAACUUAAGGGAAGUAACAUAGCAAUCAGACAGAAAGGCAUCCCCAAAUAUACCUACUAUGGUCCUGGGAGAAAAUAGAGACUCAUCCCCAAAUAUCAUCAUCCUCAUCAUUCUCUGUAGCCCAAUCAAAUGAUGCUUCAGGCCUGAGAUUUUAUCCAAUGAACACUCUGUACAUCUUUAAAAGAGAUAUGUAUUUGUCUUCUUCUCCCUUCCUUUUUUUUAAAAAAAAAAAAAAAACACAGGCCCCAGAUCCAGUCAUUCUAAAUAGGAAGGAAAAACAUAAUCCAUUGAGGAAAUGGAUGCUGUUUCUCUCCCUCCUCUGUGACUUCAGUUUGCCUUUAAAGCCCAUUUUCACCAUUUAUUGAUUUUAGUUUUCUACUUGUCUAUGAAUGACAACUUGAAUUAAGACAACAUAAGCUGAAAAGCCACUAGGCAGUGCUAAAUGGACAAGCUGCACUUCGUGGCAGAAUGUUUCAUGACCGUGCCGCCUUCUGCUUAGCCCCAUUCUCUGGAGGGGCUGUGGGCAGACCGACCCCCGCCUGGCCGCCUGGCAUGGGGACUGGUUGCGUCAGAUCAGAGCUCUGAGAUAAGGGUGAGCCAGGCCAUGAUCAUCACCACUGCGAGCCUCAAAGCCUCUUUACUGACCUGGAGGAGAUCUGUGUAUCGAAGGGGGCCAAGUCGUUCAACAGCACUUCCAGAAGGGGACAAAGAUCUGUCUCUACUUCAGCCUCCACUGGCAGAAAACUAAGCCUAUUUGCUCUAGGCCCUUCAGACUCACUCUUGGAGAAAGAAAACUCACCGAGUCAGCCCUUAUGUGACUCCACUCUCCUCUCUUCCAAACCUCCUUGCUUUGGACAAAUAUUUGACAGAAAAAUGCCCUUUUACGAUGUCUUAAAAGUUAAAAAAAAGGAUGCAUCUUAUCCUUUAAUCUGUAUUGUAAAUAAAAAAUAUUAACACAAACCCUUUAACCCAGAAAUUCUACUUUUACAAAUCCAUCUUAAGAACGUAAUCAGGUAAGUACCUCAUGUUUCUAUCAGGACAUUUAUUGCAGUGCUCUUUCUAAUAGACAAAAGUAGAAACCACCUAAACACCAAGCAAGAAGGGAUUGGCAAAUACAGUAAAUCUAGUCAAUUCAAU
ensembl:lncRNA